rnacentral:rRNA from 1 species
UACGGGGGGGGCAAGCGUUGUUCGGAAUUACUGGGCGUAAAGGGCGCGUAGGCGGUUUGCUAAGUUGGAUGUGAAAACUCUGGGCUUAACCCAGAGCCUGCAUCCAAAACUGGCAAACUUGAGUACUGGAGGGGAAAGCGGAAUUCCUGGUGUAGCGGUGAAAUGCGUAGAUAUGCGGAGGAACACCGAUGGCGAAGGCAAUCCCCUGGGCCUGCACUGACGCUCAUGCACGAAAGCGUGGGGAGCAAACAGG